UACGAAGGGGGCUAGCGUUGUUCGGAAUCACUGGGCGUAAAGGGCGCGUAGGCGGCUUGGUCAGUCCCGUGUGAAAUCCCUCGGCUCAACUGAGGAACUGCACGGGAAACUGCCUGGCUUGAGUUCGGGAGAGGGAAGCGGAAUUCCGGGUGUAGCAGUGAAAUGCGUAGAGAUGUGGAGGAACACCGAUGGCGAAGGCAGCCCCCUGGGCUAACACUGACGCUCAUGCACGAAAGCGUGGGGAGCAAACAGG
rnacentral:rRNA from 1 species